rnacentral:rRNA from 1 species
GAUGAACGCUAGCGGCAGGCUUAAUACAUGCAAGUCGAGGGGCAGCGGGGGUAGCAAUACCUGCCGGCGACCGGCAAACGGGUGCGGAACACGUACAGAACCUUCCUUUAAGUGGGGGAUAGCCCGGAGAAAUCCGGAUUAAUACCCCGUAACAUUGUGUGGUGGCAUCAUCAUAUAAUUAUAGAUUUAUCGCUUAGAGAUGGCUGUGCGGCUGAUUAGGUAGUUGGUGAGGUAACGGCUCACCAAGCCUUCGAUCAGUAACUGGUGUGAGAGCACGACCAGUCACACGGGCACUGAGACA